UACGUAGGGGGCUAGCGUUGUCCGGAAUCAUUGGGCGUAAAGCGCGUGUAGGCGGCCCGGUAAGUCCGCUGUGAAAGUCGGGGGCUCAACCCUCGAAAGCCGGUGGAUACUGUCGGGCUCGAGUACGGGAGAGGCGAGUGGAAUUCCUGGUGUAGCGGUGGAAUGCGCAGAUAUCAGGAGGAACACCGGUGGCGAAGGCGGGUCUCUGGCAGUAACUGACGCUGAGGAGCGAAAGCGUGGGAGCGAACAGG
rnacentral:rRNA from 1 species